GAUGAACGCUGGCGGCGUGCCUAAUACAUGCAAGUCGAGCGAACGGCCCCGCAGCUUGCUUUUCUGAUGUUAACGGCGGAAGGGAGAGUAACACGUGGAUAACCUACCUAUAAGACUGGGAUAACUUAGGGAAACCGGAGCUAAUACCGGCUAAUAUUUUCAACCGCAUGGUUCAAAAGUGAAAGUCGGUCUUGCUGUCACUUAUAGAUGGAUCCGCGCUGCAUUAGCUAGUUGGUAAGGUAACGGCUUACCAAGGCAACGAGGGAUAGCCGACCGAGGAGGGGGAUCGGCCACACUGGAGCGUGGACACGCUCCAGAGUCCUAAGAGAGGCAGCAGUAGGGAAUCGGACGCAAUGGUCGGAAGCCUGACGGAGCAGCGCCGCGUGAGUGAUGAAGGUCUUCGGAUCGGAAAAAUCGGUUAUUAGUUAAGAACAUAUUUGUAAGGAACUGAGCACAUCGUGACGGUACCUAAACAGAAAGCCACGGCUAACUACGUG
rnacentral:rRNA from 1 species